rnacentral:tRNA from 1 species
CAAAAAAUAGUUUAAAUAAAAUAUUAAUUUUGGAGAUUAAAGAUAUAUUAUAAAUAUUUUUUUGA